rnacentral:lncRNA from 1 species
AAACCUAUUUGACUUGUAUGCCACAUUAACACCCAAAACAUCAUAUGCCAAAAAUGGCAGUGUGCAUAUUUGGACAUAUUCCAAAUAUGGAAUAUCCACACACCAAAUAAAAUCACACAAAAAGAUGAAUAUGAUAGGGAGGUCCCACUGGGAUAGACACCAGGGGCCCCUGGUGACUGUCAACCACUAGCUACAGGAGAAAGAAAAAGGGGGCACUCUAAAACCUAUUUGACUUAUAUGCCACAUCAACACCCAAAACAGCAUAUGCCAAAAAUGACAGUGUCCAUAUUUGGACAUAUUUCAAAUAUGAAAUAUCCACACACCAAAUAAAAUCACACAAAAAUGAUAAAUAUGAUAGGGAGGUCCCACUGGGAUAGACACCAGGGCCCCCUAGUGCAUGACAUGUGGGCCCUGUGGCCCACUGUCAACCACUAGCUACAGGAGAAAGAAAAAGGGGGCUAUAAACCUAUUUGACUUAUAUGCCACAUCAAAAAUGGCAGUGUUUAUAUUUAGACAUAUUACAAAUAUGGAAUAUCCACACACCAAAUAAAAUCAUACAAAAUAAAUAAAUAUGAUAGGGAGGUCCCACUGGGAUAGACACCAGGGCCCCCUAGUGCAUGACAUGUGGGCCCUGUGACCCACUGUCAACCACUUGCUACAGGAGAAAAAAAGGAACACUCUAAAACCUAUUUGACUUAUAUGCCACACCAACACCCAAAACAGCAUAUGCCAAAAAUGACAGUGUCUAUAUUUAAACAUAUUCUACAUAUGAAAUAUCCACACACCAAAUAAAAUCACACAAAAAAGAUAAAUAUGAUAGAGAGGUCCCACUGGGAUAGCACCAAGGCCCCUAGUGCAUGAUAUGUGGGCCCUGUGGCCCACUGUCAGCCACUAGCUACAGGAGAAAGAUAAUGCUCCUGAGUUCACUAGCGGCCAACGGUGCCCACGAUCUGCUGCGGGGGUUGCGGCUGCGUACCACUACUGCUGCUAAACGACUGCUGCUACGCUACUCACCGCUGCUACUGCCGCUGGAGCUACUGCACAACACGACAGUAUACGGCGACGGCGACGGCGACGGCGACGACAGAUCCACGUCGAGGCGCAAGCAGAGGGCAAGCAGAGGGGGAUGCGAAUCCUUAUAGAGGGAAGGAGCGUCGUGGAUCAGUGACGGCGAUGGGACGACGGCCUGCUGCUGAUGUUGCUGCUUCCUGCCGGAGUUGGAGAAGAAGUGGACGACGGGGACGGCGCGUUGGAGAAGGCCUCAGCAUCUCCACUCUACGAUAUUGGAUCCGCCCGACGAUGGCGAUGCUCGUGGAACCGAUGGCGACGACGGAGAGGCACCGUAGGCUGCCGGCGACGACGACCAUUCCACGUUCAUGGCGGAUCUGCUCUGCUUCUGCUCGAAAUAGAGGAGAGGGAGAAGAAAGGAGAACGUGGUGGUGGAGAGGAGGAAGAGAGAAGGAGAGGAGGAAACCCUAGGGCACGAGGGCCGCUUUAUAGGGGAAAACGCCCUCGGUGGGUCUGCCCCCGUGGCCAUGGCUGCGCCUUUUAC